rnacentral:misc_RNA from 1 species
GAUGAAGAACGCAGCGAAAUGCGAUAAGUAAUGUGAAUUGCAGAAUUCAGUGAAUCAUCGAAUCUUUGAACGCACAUUGCGCCCUCUGGUAUUCCGGAGGGCAUGCCUGUUCGAGCGUCAUUUCACCACUCAAGCCUGGCUUGGUAUUGGGCGCCGCGGUGUUCCGCGCGCCUCAAAGUCUCCGGCUGAGCUGUCCGUCUCCAAGCGUUGUGAUUUCAUUAAUCGCUUCGGAGUGCGGGCGGCCGCGGCCGUUAAAUCUUUCACAAGGUUGACCUCGGAUCAGGUAGGGAUACCCGCUGAACUUAAGCAUAUCAAUAAGCGGAGGA